rnacentral:tRNA from 1 species
GACCGCGUAGCUCAGUUGGAAGAGCAUUGGGCUAGUAUUCCAAAGGCCGUAGGUUCGAAUCCCACCAUGGCCG